rnacentral:rRNA from 1 species
GAUGAACGCUGGCGGCGUGCCUAAUACAUGCAAGUCGAGCGAACGGACGAGAAGCUUGCUUCUCUGAUGUUAGCGGCGGACGGGUGAGUAACACGUGGAUAACCUACCUAUAAGACUGGGAUAACUUCGGGAAACCGGAGCUAAUACCGGAUGAUAUUUUGAACCGCAUGGUUCAAAAGUGAAAGACGGUCUUGCUGUCACUUAUAGAUGGAUCCGCGCUGCAUUAGCUAGUUGGUAAGGUAACGGCUUACCAAGGCAACGAUGCAUAGCCGACCUGAGAGGGGGAUCGGCCACACUGGAACUGAGACACGGUCCAGACUCCUACGGGAGGCAGCAGUAGGGAAUCUUCCGCAAUGGGCGAAAGCCUGACGGAGCAACGCCGCGUGAGUGAUGAAGGUCUUCGGAGCGUAAAACUCUGUUAUUAGGGAAGAACAUAUGUGUAAGUAACUGUGCACAUCUUGACGGUACCUAAUCAGAAAGCCACGGCUAACUACGUG